GUUGCUCUUGGGUGGCCGCGGCGCCCGCUCCCUCUGAAUUCGCCGGGCAGGGAUACAGCCGCCCGGGGCCUCUUGCUCGUGCUUGGUUUUCCGGACCUUGCUUCCUAAAGGGUCUUUAGGGGUUCCCGGACUCCUCCGCCUGGGAGCCUCUAUCCGCCUGGGAGCCUCUAUGCGCCCCGCAAAGCCCCCGGCAGAGCCGAGGGGAGGCUUCAUUGGCGACCUGGUGGGGCCUCGCGGCCCUGCUCCCUGACGUCAGCGCCGCCGCGGUGAUUUAACAGCUUUUGUUUUGGGCAGAAGAACCUAUGGGCACAAAAAGCAGGAACGAGUAGCGGUGGCUGAAGAACGAGCAGGAGCUUGAAUUUCAGUUUUCUUAUGAGGAAUUUUCCAGAAAAGAUAUCUUCACUGUGAAAUAACUAAAUAAAUGCCCACUCAGUACAGUCACUGUCUCCCUUUUGGAACUUGAUGGCACCUUAAGCCCAGGUUUGCCUCCACUCUAGAAACUCAUCAGAGUGAUGCCCUUCUCAAAUGGGGGAGGUCCCAAAGCGGAUAUCCUGGCAGUGUGAAAGGCCGGCUAAAGGUUUGUGCCAAGAGGAUCUGUGGAAUGCAUCUCCUACAGCUGGUGCUGCUGAGUAACCACUCUGAUCUGGCAUCUUCUUUGAUCAAGUUACAGAGCAGAGUUUCCAGGGCUGGGGAUUGAAGUCCUGCCUCCUCCCUUUGUCUCUGGUUGUCCUCGGUAAUGUUUUUCCCUCAAGGUACUCAUGAUACUUCCCAUGGGGUGAGUCAGGGACAGGUCUCUUUCCAGGGAAUCCAGGAUGGUAGGGAGGUUGGUUGUCUACCUUGAUCUCACUUUUUCCAUUGUAGAAACUGUGAGUUGGGGAAAGUUUUCCACACACUUGGUGCUGGACAGAUUGUGGCAAGGGGCACCACAGAUAUAAAAAUCUGAUUCUUUUACCAUGCUCAGAGUUUUUUCACUUCUGUGUCCCCAGGAAUUGACUCAUCCUCAUAUCUGAGUUCUGGGAUAUUGUUGGUGAUAAUCUCAGUGCUGUAUAUUUGUUUUUGGUUUUCUGGUGUGGAAGUGAAGCCAGCUUGCGUCUACACUGCCAUUUUUGAACUAGAAGUCCACCUGAUGCCAUGUGGGUCUGCUCUAACAAAGAUGCCUGUAGCUGUCUCUGUAGGUACAAUUGGAGCUACUACCUCAUAAAGUUUGUGGUAGCCCACUAUCUGGUUUUUGGAGGGGCUAGACUGGUAAAUUAAAUGGAGAUACAAUUUGAACCAUCAUCCCCGAAUCUUUUAGGUCUUUUAGGAUGGCAUUAAUUUCUGCCAUUCCCUGAAAUAUUAUUUUUUGAUUUACUGUAUUGGUAUGGAGAAGAGGUCAAUUUUUAAAGCUUCCACCUGGCCACUUGGCCUUUAUCACUAUGUUAGCUCUUACCACACACACCGAGAAACCUGGUGCCACUAAUCAAGUGUAUUUAUCACAAUUAUACACUCAAGGACUAGGUGGGUCUGUGGAUAUAUUGUGAGCCAGACUUGGGCCAGGACACCCUAGGACUUGGCCUCCAUAACCCUUACUCUAAUCAAGGGCAUAUAGUGAGAGUUCUGUGAUAUCAUUGUUAACUCAGACCCUGUUUCCAACAGAUAUCAAAAUGUUGAGUAUUCCCCUUUCACCACUGUAUGAUUUCCUGAGUAAUGGUGAUAGGUCCCUUUGGAGAAGGACUAGAGGAAUCAUUAUUGUGCACACUUGUGGUAUUACACAAUCCUUCCUCCUGGGGACCCAGAUUCUUCUUUAGUUAAUGGGCCUGGAUCCAAAAACGGACUCAGGUCUGGAAAUCGGACAAGGGGUCAUGAUUAUUUUUUAUUUUUAUUUAUUUAUUUAUUUAUUUAUUUUUGAGACAGAGUCUCCCUCUUUAGCCCAGGCUGGAGUGCAGUGGCACAAUCUCUACUCAUGGCAACCUCCAUCUCCUGGGUUCAAGCAAUUCUUUUGCCUCAGCCUCCCGAGUAACUGGAUUACAGGCGCGCACCACCUUGCCCGGCUAAUGUUUGUAUUUUUAGUAGAGACAGGGUUUCACCAUGUUGGCCAGGCUGGUCUUGAACUACUGGCCUCAGGGAAUCCACCCUCCUCGGCCUUCCAAAGUACUAAAUUUAUAGUCAUGAGCCACUGCACCCCGCCAGUUUAACUUUUUUUUAAUUGGCUUAGUUGCCAAGAGAGGAAGUUGGGGAGGAUCCUGAGGAGUGUAUGUUUUGUCCUUGGAGAGAGAGCUCAUUGUCUUCAAGCAAAAGAGGGAGCACACUAGCCCUUAUUAGAGAAGAGAGGGGCACUUCUGUAGCCUUAGAAGGUUCUGGAAACCUGAGGAUUGAAGAUUUUUCAGGUGCAUCAACCCAGAUGGUUUCAUCCCAUGUGUCAGGGUUCCAUUUUUUCCCAAUCAGGGUCCUGACAACAGCACAGUAGACCUGCCUAGCUUGGGUCCUAACUUCUUUGGAGUUUUAUUCUCAUGACUAAGUCCUGGGCCUGGUCCUCAGCUUCCUCUCCUCAUUGGCUUGAGAACCUGAGAGUCUCAUAUUCUACGAGGGAGGCUUUCUGGCCCUCACACUGAGUUUUUGUUUGUUUUUGAGACAAGAUCUUGCUUUGUCACUAAGGCUGAGUGUGUAGUUGCACCCAGGCUGGGAGUGCAGUGGCACAGUAAGCUACUGUAACCUUGAACUCCUGGACCCAAAUUAUCCUCUGGCCUCAGCCUCUUGAGUAACAGAACAACAAAUGCAUGCCACUAUGCCCUGCUGAUUUUAAAUUUUUGUGGAGAUGGGCCUUGCUAUGUUGCCCAGGCUGGUCUUGAAUUCCUGGCCUCAAGCUAUCCUCCCUUUUCAGUCUUCUGAGGCACUGGAAUUACAGGCAUGAGCCACGGCUCUUGGUCCCACACUCAGCUUCUAAUUACCAACUAAUCACUCUCAUUCUUUUAUUUUGAGACAGGGUCUCAUUCUGUAGCUCAAGCUGGAGUACAGUAGUGCAAAUAUAGCUCACUGCAGCCUCAAACUCCUGGGGUCAGGUGAUCUUCUUGCCUCAGCUUCCCAAAUAGCUAGGACUACAGCCACAAGCUACUGGGCAUGGAUAAUUUUUUAAAUAUUUGUAGAGACAGGGUCUCGCUAUGUUGCCCAGGCUGGUCUCAAACUCCUGGCUCAGCCUCCCAAAGUGCUGGGAUUACAAGUGUGAGCCACUAUGCCUGGCCCAUUCUCAUUCUUCUGUUAUCUUUUUCCAAGGUAUCGGUCUAGCUCAGUAAUAACUCUUCAGUUCCACUGUCUACACUGUUUCCCACCUGAUCUUCGUGCCUGCCGGUGCAUUUCUUUGUGUUGACAUGCCAUCUCAGUUCACCACUAGUCAAAGUUUUAAUAACUGCACUGUCAGGGUGUGCUAGCAGUUAACUUCUCCCUGCCCCAGUGAGGAGACUCUCAUCCUAUAAGUGAGAAGGCAAGAGAAAUGGCUCCAAAAGCACACUGGAGCACCUACUUUCCUGCAACCCUUCUGAUACCAAGUAUCACAGAUGCUGAGAUGAAGAUUAGUGGGUAGGAGAUUUGGAUUGCCACCUGUGGAAAGAAAGGAAACUCCACUGGGUGGAGGAAGAAUAUGGACUAUGAUGCAAUCUCAAAGGUGGCCUUAGCUGACACUAAGGGGAACUCUGAAGCUAGGAUGGUCUUUCAGAUUGUUCUAAUAUGGGGCAAUGGGACUAGUCUUUGCAUGCAGCCUGGCCCAAGAAGGAAGUGUGACUUCAGAUGAGGUGGCUCUUUUCACUUAAGAGGGCAAUUCUACUGACAGCUGAGGGCCGUUGGGUGCACACUGCCAGAGCGAGAAAACAAAAUCCUCUGUAGGGAAGGGGACUGUGUGGCAUAUCACAGCACACCCCGAGAACAAGGGAGCGGCUCUUCAUCAAAUAACACAAUAUGGGCCCACAUAUUCCCAGAGGCUGCUAUAGUGCUGGGCACAUUAGUGCUCAAUAACUUAUUGAAUUAGUAUUAUCAUAUUGUGCUAUUGCCAUCCUCAUCUUUUAAAGUCACUUAUCACUUAAUGGAUGUUCUUGUUAGAACUGACACUAUGAAGAUGACUAUGACACAAUUACCUGUUGAGCCUAUUUGAGAAAUUAACCUAUAUUUAACAAGUUUGACUAAUUAGAUUGGUUAAGAGCCUUAGCAGAGGGCUAAACAAAAUGGUGUUAAAGAAUACACCUGAUGGUCCAAGAAAAUCCCUAACUCCCUAGAAGGUCUGGAUAGUCUGAGAAGUGACAUUCGAACAGUGUAAUGCACUUUCCUCCAGAGCCAGAAGCAGGGAAAGCAGAGGCAGCAGCAAUUUUAUCUUCUGGGCACCUUAUCCUCAGACCUCAUUUUAUCAAUACAUACGGACUGUCUACAACCACGUAAUAUCCUUUUCAUCAGCCUUAUGAAAUUUUCCCCCAAUUUAUCCAAGUCAGGAUUUCAGUAUGCAGAAGUCUAAUGUCAUCUUGGAGAGUUCAUUGUGCCUCCCCCAUAUCCAAGACCAUUUACUAAAACCUUAGUUCAGUCUUUAAAGAGUCACAAGAUCCUAUUAUGCCUAGUUUUUUUUCCAGUCUUUUAAGUCUAUUCCUUACCUUGCCAAAAAAGUACCUGUUUCUAUGGUUUAACAAAUGGAGCUUAGAAUAUGGAACUAUGACAAAAAUACCUGCUACAUGCUUCCUUCUGUAUGAAUACAUGAGACCUACCUUCAUUCAUGUUUCCUCUAUGAAGCUUUCCCUGCACUCCAAACACAGAGCUGAGACUUCCACCUAAUGUAGAAAGCUAGCACGAGCCGGCGCUGACAGAUGGAAGACUUGAGAUGUUACAAGAUUAUAUAUGGAAACACAAAAGGAGAUACCGGAGCCAUGACAGACUGUGAUGGGGCUGGUGGACAGUUCAGCAAGACAUUGAUAUUGUCCAUUGGCGCUCAGUUCAUCUGUAAUGACACAUUCAAGGAUGACGAUUAAUGUCCAAUAUGUAUAAAGUGGAUCCCUUUGUAAAAACAAUACAAUUCUUAUUAUUGUCUUUCUUUUUAAGCCUCCAUGGUAUACUACACCACUCGCAAUCUUUGUUUUGCUUGUACAAACAAAAAACCACAACUGCUCAGCUGUAGCAGUUUUCAAACACAUUACACUUCAUAAUGAUCUGACAGUGUUAAAGACAUACAGAUAUCUAGGCUGCACUCUAGCUCACUCAAUCAGAAAUAUACAGUUGGGGGUGGCUGAUUCCUACACUUAAAAAAAUAACAGCUCCCAAGGCAAUUCUAAUAUAGUUAGUUGAACACUAUUUGGAAAUUACUGAACCACACAGUAACUUUCUCAAAAGGGAAAGAACCAUUUGCUAGAGGACUGGAGAGAUUGUAUUUUCCACUAGGAAGUCAUUUUCAGGAGGCAUUUGAACCAGGAAUAACUUCGGUCAAGGCAAAACCUCCCUUGUGUCUUCUAUUAAAAAAAAAUGUUUAAUUGAUACAUAAUAAUUGUAUGUAUUUAUGCUGUUGUCCAUUCAUGUUCCUAGGUUUUAAGUCUGUGCAGAGUCUAGUUCUUUAUUUAUACUGUAAAUGGGUCAUGGUAUUUUAAAAACAAUACCUGACCCAGGAAACAAACGUUCUUCCCAUCAACUGAUGAGCCACUCUUACUAAAGAUGGCUGAAAUGAGGGCAAAGAGGAAGAAAUAGAAACGUGUGCGGUAUGAUUUAUUUGAAGUAGGCAUAAUAAAAAUGUUAUUUUUGAUACUCUAUUUAGUGGAAAAUAUCCAGAUACAAUGGGAUUAUUUAAUGAGUAAAGAGGCUUUCUAGUUCUAGUAUCUAGGUUCUUUUCUCCUGACCCUCCAGCUUCUGCUUGAGGCUCAUCCAUGUUGUAGAAUGUAUCAGAACUUCGUUUCUUUUUACAGCUGAAUAAUAUUUCAUUGGAAGGACAGUCCACAAUUUGUUUAUCCACUUAUUCACUGAUGGAUGUUUUGGGCUGUUUCUACCUUUUGGCUUUUGUGAAUGGUGCUGCUAUGAAUAUACAGAUACCUGUGUGUAUAGGCAUUUGUUUAAAUACCAGUUUUUUAUUUAUACUCCUAGGAGUGGAGUUGCUGGGUCAUAUGGCAAUUCAUUUGAGGAACUGAGAAGCUUAUUCCAUGGAGGCUGAACUGUUUUAUAUUCCCACCAGCAACGUGUAAGGUUCCAGUUUAUCUACAUCAUCACCAACACUUGCUAUUUUCCAUUUCAUUAAUGAUAGCCAUCCUAGUGGAUUUGAAGUGGUACCUUAUUAUCGUGGUUUUGAUUGCAUUCUCUAUUGACUAAUGAUAUCGAGCAUCUUUUCAUGUAUUUUUUGGUCAUUUGGUCAUUUUUCUUUUUUAAUUUUAAAAUUUUGAGACAGGCUCUCACUAUGUUGCCCAGGUGGUCUCAAACUCCUGGGUUCCAGCGAUGCUCAUGCCUCAGUCUCCCAAAGGGGUGGGAUUACAGGUGUGAGCCACUUUGCCCAGCCCAUUUGUAUAUCUCCUUUGGAGAAUAUCUAGGUUCUUUUGAAGGUAGCUGCAUAUAAACUAGCCAAAUUAACAGACUGUGGUUUUUAGAUGGCUUUCCAUAUCUACAAGAACUAUUUAGUUCUCAAAACUGGGAAGAAAUGUUUCAGAGGCAUCAUUAAUUCAUAAUCUAAAAAUUUAUCUUGGGUUUCCUUUUUUCCCCCAGAUUCUGUAUCCUCCAUAGUCCUAUUCAUGACAUGGGUCGUUCAUCUCUGUAUUCUAAACCCUCAAUGAACUGUAGACAGUAAUAAAUAUUUAUUGGAUGAAUGGUCUCUCAUCAGCCACCUUUUCUUUUUUUUUUUUUGAGACAGAGUCUCACUCUGUCACUCAGGCUGGAGUGCAGUGGCGCGAUCUCGGUUCACUGCAACCUCUGCCUCCCGGGUUCAAGUGAUUCUCCCACCUGAGCCUCCCGAGUAGCUGGGAUUACAGGUGCACGCCACCUUGUCUGGCUAAUUUUUGUAUUUUUAGUAGAGACAGGGUUUCACCGUGUUGGUCAGGCUGGUCUCAAACGCCUGACCUCAGGUGAUCUGCCCGACUUGGCCUCCCAAAGUGCUGGGAUUACAGGUGUGAGCCACCGCACCUGGCCUCCAGCCUCUUUUCUUUUUUUUUUUUGAGACAAGUCUAACUCUGUCACCCAGGCUGGAGAGCAGCGGCAUGAUCAUGGCUCACUGCUGCCUCAACCUCAGAGGCUCAAGUCAUUGUCCCCACCUCAGCCUCCCUAGUAGACUGGACUACAGGCAUGUGCCACCACACCCAGCUAAUUUUUCAUCAGCCACCUUUUCUAACCAUCUGUCUGCACUGACUUCCCAGGUUCUGCAUCAUUAUUGGUUUACUGAGACAAUGCACUUCACCCGUCCUUCAAUCCCAAAGUAGCACAGAAUAUCAGGAGUUCUUUGAGCCCCUAAGUGCCCUACUUUCCCAGGGUCAGGGGACCCUGACAAGCAAGGUCCCCACAUCUUUCUGUGGUUGGAUAGGGAUAUAAAAUUUCUCACACAUGUUAAAUCAAGAUACUUUGGCCAGGCACGGUGGCUCACACCUGUAAUCCCAGCACUUUGGGAGGCUGAGGUGUACAGAUCACUUGAGGUCAGGAGUUUGAGACAAGCCUGGUCAACAUGGUGAAACUCCCAUCUCUACUAAAAAAAAAAAAACUUUGGGAGGCCGAGGUGGGUGGAUCAUGAGGUCAGGAGUUUGAGACCAGCCUGGCCAACAUGGUGAAACCCCGUCUCUACUAAAAAUGCAAAAAUUAGGUGGGUGUGGUGGCACACAGCAGUAGUCCCAGCUACUCAGGAGGCUGAGGCAGGAGAAUUGCUUGAACCUGGGAGGCAGAGGUUACAGUGAGCUGAGAUCAUGCCACCGCACUCCAACCAGGGCAACAGAUCAAGACUCCAUCUUGGGGAAAAAAAAAAAAAUUAGCCAGGCUUGGUGGUGGAUGCCUGUAUUCCCAGCUUCUUGGGAGACUGAAGCAGGAGGAUCGCUUGAACCCAGGAGGCAGAGGUUGCAGUGAGUUGAGAUUGUGCCACUGUACUCCAGCCUGGGCAACAGAAACAAUACUCCGUCUCAAAAAAAAAAAAAAAAAAAAAAAAUCAAGACACCAAACACACACAACUAAUUAGCUCUAUAAAUUGAAUUAAAAGAAAAUCCAUACUGACUUGCUUUCCCAUCUGUCCAUAUUUGUCUAUCCAAAUGAUUAAGGGCUAGAGAAAAUACAGAUGAUGAUGGCUGAGAUGGGAUAAAACUAUAAAUUGACUUGGUUCCAUUUACCUCCCAGAAUCAGCAUACAGUGACAAAGUAGAGAGAAAAGGUCUGGGCACCACAAACUUGUACUUGUGCUAGAAAUGUAGGUGCCUUUUCAUUUGCCCAGCAGGGCUAGUUUAACAGCCAGGGUAUCUUCUGGGACUCUUCCCCAAAUCUUGCUCUACCGCUGACUAGCUAUGUGAUCUUGGGCAAGUUUCUCAACCUUUCUGUGCCUUUCUUCCUUUACUUAUAAAUAAGGAUAACAGAAUUUGCUUCAUAGAGUUAGUCUGAGGAUUCAGUAAGUAGAUACGUGUAAUCUUAGAACAGUGUCUGGCACACAGUAAAACUCUAUCUUUGCUAUUGUUGUUUUUGUUAUAACUGUAUAGAUGUUAGCUAUUAUUACUAUCCACAAGAAUGGGACAUAUCAAUUAUAUAUAUUACUGGCCUAGUAAUUAUAUAUACUUAGAAUCCCUGAUCAAUAAAAUAAAUUGUAAUAGAAAUUUUUAUUCCUCAAACACAUUUUUGUUCCUCAAACACAUUUUUAAAUAAACAUGUCUUGGGAAAGCCAAAGAAAAAAAAAUCAUACCUAUAUCCAAAUAUGUUAUAUUAAAACCUUGUUCCUUGGCAAUUUCACUAAGCAGCUGGAUGUAAUCUGUAUUUGGAAUACUAAGGAGGCUUCUUUUCAGUAAGUUGAUCUUUUCACCAGGAGAAUUCCUCAAGGAAUGCCAAGUACAUCCUAAAGAAUGUCCUACUACAUUUGUCUGAAAAACAGAGAUGAAGAUUUAGACUCUUGACUAGGACUGGGUUCCAACACCCGUACCAGUAUCAUUAAAAGUACUUAUUAAGCACUCACAUUUAAUAUGUUAUAAAGCAUGUUUAAAUGGAUAACAUUUGGUUAAUUUUCCAAUUUAAACAAGACAACAUUAAAAAGUACACAUUUAACAAUACUAUAUGUUUUUAAGAAGCACUUGCAAUAAUAUACUGAAAGCAUUUUGUAUUUUGUAUAGUACAAAUGUUUCUCAGUCAAGUUUUCUGAUGGUCACAUUAAGAGGUACAAGAUAUCUGGAAGCACCAUAAGUAAAUCCACAAAUAAUUAAAUCUGCCUAAUGGAGCAAUUUGCAGAUUAAAAUAUAGAACAAUUUUCAUAUCUUUGGUUUUUUUUGUAUUAAAUACCAAUCACUAUAACUGACAGCUAUCAAACAGGAAAAAAAACAGAAAAAAAAACUAAAAAAAACAUGAAAUGUGCGCGUUGGGUUUGAGGAACAAGUCAUUCAAAUAAAUGACAGGAUGUCAAAAAGUUCUUAUCAGACUUCUAUCCCAGAACCCAACUGAGUAUUUUUUUCCUUUUUCUUUCUGCUUUUCCUCUUUCCUUUAUCCUCCCCUAUAUCCUUCCCUUUUCAUCUCUGUCCUUAGAAUGCCUUAUAUUUCCAUAUUAGUUUAUGGUUCUCAAAUUGCUUUCAUAUGCCAUUAAUAAAAACAACUACUUUCUGAAGUAAGUAGGGUUACUACUCUUAAUAUUGUUUUAUUAAUGAGCACGACAGAGGGGAGGCAAUUUCCAAAAGAUUUUAGAGAUGGCAUGAUAUGGAAUUAAGUAAUUUAUUAGAUUUACCAAAUAAAAAUUUACAUUAUAGAAACUUUAAAAUACUGUUUUUAAAUAAAGAACACUAUUUACAUGGUUAAAAAUAUACAUGCACUAAGAACAAAUAUAUAAUGAAGAGUACAGUCUCUUUUCCUUACCACCCAUUCCCUGAAGACCUCUGUUCUAUUUCUUAGACAUACUGUUAAACAUUUUUCAGUAUCUUCCCAUAAAUGUUCUAUGCAUAUGCAAGCACACACAAUCUUUUAAAGCAAAUGAUAACUUACUCCUCUACAUCUUGUUCAUUUUUCUUUUAUCAGUGCACAUAUAUGCACUGUAUUUACCUUACGGAUCUCCAACUGUGAGCUUUAGGUUGUUUCUAGUUUCUUGCUUUUACUAGCAAUAAACACUCUUUUGCACUUGAAUGAGUUUCUCUGUAGAAUUAUUUCUAGAAGUGGAACUGCUAAGUCAAAGAACAUGUACACUUUUAAUUUUGAUAAAUACUUCCAAACUGAUUUCUGAACCAAUUUAUACUCCUACCAACUGUCUUGGAGGGGGCUUGUUUUCUCAUACCCUCACUAAUACCAGCUAUUAUCAAAUUUUGUAGUUUUUGCCAAUCUAAAAGGUGAAAAUAUUUUAUCUUGCAUGAAUAAAGUUGAAUAUUUUUUCUUUUUUUCCCUUAAUCGUUUGCAUUUCUUCUACUGGGUUGUCUUUUUAACUGAUGCAUAAGAGCUUUUUAAAUUUUCUCUUUUUUAAGAGUUAGGAUCUUGCUGUGUGGCUUAACUCUCAAACUCUUGGGCUCUAGCAGUCCUCCCACCUUAGCCUCCCGAGUAGCUGGGACUACAGGCAUGUGCUGCUGUGUGCAGCAGAUGUGUACAAAAGAGCUUUAAAGGUAGUACUGAAAACAGUUCCUUUAUAGUUCUAUGUUGAAAAUAAUUUCUUCCCACUUUUUUAUUGUCUUAAUUUACAGAUUUUUUGCUGUGCAGUAGGUUUUAUGUUGUCAAAUGUAUUAAUCUUUUAACCUAGGUUUUAAGUUAAAAUGCUUUCCCCAUGCUAAGAUUUUUAAAAAGAAAAACUCUUCCAUGUUUCCUAAUAUUUAUACUGUUUCAAAUUUUUAUGUUCAAAUCUUUGAUCCAUCUGAAAUUCACUUUGGUGUAAGGAAUAAGGAAGCAUUCUAAAUAGAUGUCAUACACAUCAACAAAUAUAUAUAUAUAGCCCCCACCCAAAUGUGGAUGUAAACUGUUUCUACAUCAUUAUUGAAUAAUCCAUCCUCUCACCCACUGAUCUGAAAUCUCACUGUUGCUAUAUACUAUGGUCCUAUGUGGAUUAGCAUCUACGCCUGGAUUCUCUAUUCGCUCCUCUGACUAUUCCUGGCCCAGUAACUUGUCUGACAAGUUCAGUUUUACAGUAUGUUUUGUUCUCUAGUAAAGCAGCACACCCUUGCUCUCCCAACUCUUCCUUUUCAGUUUUCUUGGCUAUUCUUGAGGGUUUUUUUCCAGAUAAACUUCAAUAAACGUGUAUCAAGGUCCAAAAUGAACGCUGGUAGGUUUUUUUUUUUUUCGAGUUGGGGUCUCACUCUGUCGCCUAGGCUGGAGUGCAGUGGCGUGGAUCUCUGCUCACUGCAAGCUCCGCCUCCCGGGUUCAUGCCAUUCUCCUGACUCAGCCUCCGGAGUAGCGGGGACUACAGGCGCACGCCACCAGGCCCGGCUAAUUUUUUUUUUUGUAUUUUUAGUAGAGACGGGGUUUCACCGCGUUAGCCAGAAUGGUUUCUAUCUCCUGACCUCAUGAUCCGCCCACCUCGGCCUCCCAAAGUGCUGGGAUUACAGGCGUGAGCCACUGUGCCUGGCCAAACGCUGGUAGGUUUUGAGUGAGACCACAUUACAUUUAAAUAUAUUUACAAUGUUUUCUGCUCUAUUCUUUAGUAGACUUUUCCUCACGUGGUCCUACGCAUUUCUUUCUAAGUUUAUUUUCAUAUAGCCUAUCCCUGUCUACAAUUUAAAUUGGGAUCUUCUAUAUUCUAGUUAUUAUUUGUAAAUAAGAAAACUACUGACUUUUUUCUAGUAUAUUUUCUCAGAAUAGGAUUUUCUAUUUUUCUAUAAAAUGACCAAUGUUAUGAAGCUUCGUAAGUUUUGUCAAAGUGAUACACACAUACAGCAAAAAAUCAAAUAGUACAGAAGUAUAAAAGCAACAACCUCUGCCUUGCCCCUUCUCCACCUUCAGGUCCCCUUCCCAGAUACAAUAAUUUUUAGCUUUUUAUUUUUAAUUAUUCUGGUUGUUACCUACAUAACUCUGGGCAAUAUGGAAAAGUUAUUGAUUUUGUAUAUUAAUUUCAUAAUCAGUUACCUUGAUGAAUUCUCUUGUUUCUAGUAGUUUUUCUUUAGGGUUUUAAAGGGAUACAAUCAUACCAUUUGCAGUUAGUAACCAUUUUAUCUCCUCUUAUUUCCAACUUCGUACUGUUUUCUCUUGUCUAAUUUGUUUUUAAUUGGUGGGUACUUCUAGAACAAGGUUAAAUAAAAGUGGUGUUGGUGGGCGUCCUUAUUUCUGAUAUUAAUGGGAAUGAGUAUAAUGUAUAAAUAUAUAACCAUGAUUUUGGUUUUUUUCCAAGUUUUUAUCAGUAAUGAUUGCUGAGUUUUAUCAAAAUUUUUUUGGCAUCCAUUGAGAGGAUUAUAUAUUACUCUUUGACACAUUAAUGUGGUUAAUUAAAGUAACCAACUUAUUAACCUUGAAAUAGUCUUAGUUAAAUAAACCCUACUUGUCAAUGCUAUAUCAUUAUUUUAAUAUUGUACUGAACAUUUUACAAAGGUGUUUCACCAUAAGGCAUAUUGAUCUGUAAUUUUUUUUUUUCUGUUGAACUUGCUAUUGUCAGGUUUUGGUGUAUUAUGUUGGUUUUGGAGAAUAAAUUUAAAAGUUUCCUUUAUGUUAUCUAUACAUUGCCUGAAAAGAGUUUAAAUAGCAUUGAAAAUGAUCUCUUCUUUGAAGAUUUAACCAAUUUCACCUGUAAAUCUGUCUGUGCUUUGUAAUUUUGGUGAUACUGUUGACUCAAAUUCCAAAAGCAGUAAAUGCAGUGUUUUAUAUUUUUCUAUUAAAAAUGUAAAAUCAAAUUAUAUUACUCAUUUGUAUAUAGUCUUUGAUUUUUUUCUAAAGAAUGAGCCCUUAUUUUAUCAUAAGCUCAGUGAAGAAGUUGCUACAGUUGUACUUUUUUAUUUCCCACCUAAUACACUACUCUCAGAUAAUGUACCACAUGACACACCUAUCUGUGAAUAUCAGAAUCUGAAGUUAUAUAUCAUGUGUAGGCCAAUCUCUUAAGCUCUGAAUUUAUUUGUUCAGCUACUCGAUAUAUUCACUUAGCUAUUCCAUAAGCUAUUCCAUAAGCACUUCAAAUUCAAUAUAUUUAGUUCAUUAUCUGCUCCCCUCUUGCUAUUGCCAAGUUUAAAAUAGUAAUUUCCUCCCUUUCCCUUGCUUCCCACAUCCAAUCAAUUACCAUGCCCCUUUACCUCAGUUUUCUAAAUAACUUUAAAAUCUACCCAUCUCUCUCCAUUUUCCCAGCCACUACCUUAGUUCAAGCUGUCAUGUCUCACGUGUCUUCUGUAACAGCACUCUCGCAGGUCUCUUUGAUCCUAAUUUCACUCACUUACCAUAAUGCAGCCAAGUGAUUUCCUUGUAAUGUAUAGACUAGAUCCUGUCCUUCCCAGAUUAAAAUUCUUUAAUGACUUUGUACUACCCUUGGGAUAAAGUUCACUUUCCUUAUAUAGGGGUCCCUUUAAGAUUUAAUCCCUCUUUACUUUGCUGGCCUCAUUGAGACUCCCUCCCUCCAACACUAUGUUCUACACACAACAAAUCACUUAGGGCUCCUAGACUGCAUACGAUGUUUCACUCCUGGCCUUUGCACACGCUUUUUCUUCUCUCUGGAAUUCUUUUCCCCCAUUCUACAGGUCUUGGCUUAGACAUUACUUCUUCCUGGAAUCUGUCUCCAAACCUGUUUUUGUUGGAUGCCUUCUUCUAUGUUCCCACAUCACACUCUGUAAGGACUAGCCUAUAGAAUUCCUUCCUUUCAGUAGUCUAUAAACUCCUUAGAGGCAGGGACUGCUUAUUCACUGCACCCCAGUACCCAACACAACACUUAGCACACAGUAUGAGCUCACUAAAUGUUUGCUAAGUGAAUGAAUGAACAAACAAAGGGAUGGAAAUGCGCUGUCACUUUGAAGGCAAAAAUGGCACUACUGGCCUAUCAUCUUUAGAUCCCGUCCUAUUAUUCUGAAUUUGACUGUGUCUCCCAAGCUCUCUUACCUAAUUGCCUCUGUGAUCCUGACUCACAAACAGGAAGCAGCUAAAAAUGGGGUAGGGUAUAACUGAAUAAUGAAGAGAUUUCUAAAAAUCACAACUCUGAAGUAGCUAUAGAAUAAGAAAUCAAGGAAAGUUUCCUACUGCAAGAAAUGCUUAAUGACAUUAACAUCAUAGCUGUCAACAUUACUCACUAAAGAAAUGUGGUUCUCUGGAGAAAUAUUACUAAAUUUGGCAAGAAAUUUCUCAGCAGCAUUCCUUUUGGCUUGCUUUUUUGAUGCCCCCUUUCCUGAACAAAGAAAAAGAAAUGGUAGAUUUAGAAAAGAAAUUAGUGUCCACAGAGGAUGAUCAAACGUAUGAAGUACUGUGUUUAAUCAGAGAACCUCACGGUUUUUAUUAUAUACUAGACUAUGUUCUUACUGACCUGAUAACUUUGUUUGUUAUGCUAUUUUGUUUGUAUAGCUAUUAAUUCUUUUUUUUUUUUUUUUUGAGACGGACCCUCACUUUGUCACCAGGCUGGAGUGCAGUGGCACCAUCUUGGCUCACUGCAACCUCCGCCUCCUGGGUUCAAGCAAUUCUCCUGCUUCAGCCUCCCAAGUAGAUGGGAUUACAGGUGCCCACCACCACACCUGGCUGAUUUUUUGUAUUUAGUACAGACAGGGUUUUGCCAUGUUGGCCAGGCUGGUCUCAAACUCCUUACCUCAUAUGAUCGGCCCACCUCAGCCUCCCAAAGGGCUGGGAUUAUCAGUGUGAGCCACUGUGCCAGGCCUGUAUAGUUACUAAUUCUUACACUUUUGAAGACAUUUGUUUUAAGUUUUUCUUUAAUAGUUAUGCUUUCUGUUUUUCUAUAAUAAUUGUAUUUUCCUAUGUCUAGCAUUACUGAACCAUAUUUGGUUUAAUUCUGACCAAUUAUUUAGAUUUAUUAAAAUACAUCUGAAUUAUAACUCCUCUCUCUCAAUGUCUAUUUCCUGCUUAUGAUCUUCUCUAAACUGACGAUUAUAUGAAAUUCCUUUUAACAGGAAUAAGAAAGGCACAGGGGAUGGUGGAGUUGAAAGAUACCAUAAAUAUCUACCUCCAUGCUUUUGUUUUAUAGAUUAAAAAACUGAGGUCCAGAGAAAUUAAGUAAUUUGCUUAACUUCGCGAAUCAAGGACUGCAUCAAGGACGGAAGCUGAGGUUCCUGCUUUUGGCCUGGUGCUUUCUGUACUGGCCACACUACCUCCCAAAGGCAAAUAGUUUCUUAUUACUUGAAACUAUUAUCUAGCUAAGCUAAAAUCCCAUUUUAAGCCACUUUUGAAAAUAACAAAAACAUGCCAGAGAAGUUAACAGGAAUUCUCGCUAGUACUUUUUAAAGUGACAGCGUUUCUUAUAGUUUAUAUCCUUUAUAACAUAGAAGUUGCUAUAAUUAAGAAAGAUAAUUUUCAUUUUUAUCUCACUGCAAUUAUUUGCCAUGUAGUCUCUUAUUAAUCAUAUAAUUUUCAAGUGUAAUCUUCCUCUAGUCCUAUUUUCUAGAUAGAAUAGCUGUUAAAAUCCAAGAGAUUUACUAUAGCUUUUUCUCCAAAUUGAGGUUUUUUAAGUCAGUAAUUUAUCAAUGAAGACUGUUUAAAGUACAGAGCCAACAGUUU
rnacentral:lncRNA from 1 species